GGCCCCAUGACUGGAACCCCCCCCAAAAAAAAAGACAGAGAAGAUUAGCAUGGCCCCAGUGCAAGGAUGACAUGCAAAUUCGUGAAGUGUUCCAUAUUUUU
rnacentral:snRNA from 1 species